GACGGAAGGUGCAAGCGUUGCUCGGAAUCACUGGGCGUAAAGGGUGCGUAGGCGGCUUGGUAAGUCUGGUGUGAAAGCCCCGGGCUCAGCCCGGGAAGGGCGCUAGAAACUGCCAAGCUCGAGUGCCGGAGGGGAGAGUGGAAUUCCUGGUGUAGCGGUGAAAUGCGUAGAUAUCAGGAGGAAUACCGGUGGCGAAAGCGACUCUCUGGACGGUGACUGACGCUGAGGCACGAAAGCGUGGGGAGCAAAC
rnacentral:rRNA from 1 species